AAAGUCGUAACAAGGUUUCCGUAGGUGAACCUGCGGAAGGAUCAUUAUUGAAUAAAUCUGACGUGGUUGCAGCUGACUCUCCGGAGUACGUGCUCGCCUAGUCACCUUUAUCUUUCCACCUGUGCACACACUGUAGUCCUGGAUACCUCUCGUCGAAAGGCGGAUGCAGGGUUUGCUGUGACUUCGCAAGAAGGCCGGCUCACUCUGAAUUUCCAGGUCUAUGAUCUCACACACCCCAAACUGAAUGUUACAGAAUGUUAUCAUCGGGCUUCGUGCCUAUAAAUUUAUACAACUUUCAGCAACGGAUCUCUUGGCUCUC
rnacentral:misc_RNA from 1 species